rnacentral:tRNA from 1 species
AAAAAAAAAAAAAAAAAAAAAAAAAAAAACCAAACAAAACUACAUACCUUAAUUUAAAAAUACUUUAUUGCUAAAAAGGCUAACCAUUACAUCUGACAAGGCAGGGUUGCCUUGUCAAUUUGUAAAAAAUGCAGCAUUGGGAAGUUCCCUGGCGGUCUAGUGAUUAGGACUCAGUGCUUUCAUUGCUGUGGCCCAGGUUCAAUCCCUGGUCUGGAAACUGAAAUCCUACAUCAAACCACUGCACCCUGCAAGCCAAACAAAGAAACAAAACCACAAGUUCUGUGUCUGCAAAGUGCAAUGAAGUGAAGCGCAAUAAAACAAGGUCUGCCUGUGUACACACGUGUAAAGAAUCUUAAUCUUCACUGAAAAUCACUUUCUGAAAUUUGCUGGUUUUUUGCAAUGAAAUUAGUUUAAACUGUGAGCUGGAUCCCAUCUUUCUGUCCUAACAUUCCAGUUAUAGCAUGCCUCACUUUAAGAGUGUCCCGUCAAAAAAAUGAAACGUGUGUUACGGCAAAUCCAUGCAUUCAGCACACUUACUGAAUGCCUCUAGUAUGCAGUCACCGUGCAGACAGAGCACAGAGAAGUUCGUGACCUCAGCAGGACUUCAGUUCAUCCAAGGAGUCACUACAGGGUUUCUUUACAACCAUGGCCUCCUUGUAUAUUUUAAAUAAGGGUCUGGUUGUAAAAAUUCUAGUUGCACAACUUUUCAGGAAUACGUCUAUUAGGUAAAAGGAGGUAAAUCUCUAUUGCAGACGUGGAGACAGAUCUUCAUAUCUCGUCACCAAGUAAUCUUAUCAGUACUCAGCUUACAAUACUAAUAAAGGGUUUCUAAGCCAUAACCAUUUGUUCUCAGAUACUUAGCCUUCUUUCUUUUAAAACACUCUGAACUGAAAUCUUCCUGGGAAUGGUACUUUCAUAAUAGAUUUAUAUUAAUUUAUAUUCAUUAUAAAUCCAGUGACCUGUAAUUCCAUUACAUGUAUUUAAAAAUCUAAUUUAUUUUAGAUGGUGUUAAUUUUUGUUGCUACCGAGCUUAAUGCCCUUAAGGCUUAAUCUUAUGUGUUCAGAAGAUUCUAGCCAGUUGAAUGAGUUGUGGACAAACAAUUGGAGAGUAGCUUGUAAAUACCAACAUUCUAGAAGAUACAGUAUUAUUCCUGCCAACAGGUUCUCUUCCUGAUUCCAUUCUUUGGGUCUGUUUUCCUAGUGUGGCUAACUAGCUUCUUGGACCAAGUGGAGGCAUACUCUGAUCCACAAAGCUCUUUUUUAUAAACCAGGUUUGAUAUGUGUGUGUGUGUAUAUAUAUAUGUGUGUGUGUGUACAUAUCUUUGUGUGUGUGUGUACACACGUGAACGUCUGGGCAUGUUAUGCUUUCUCUAAGAUACGCAGACUCCUAACAAGACUGUUACUUGGGGCUGCGGCGGGGCUUAGGCCAAGUGGAAAGUACAGUAGGACAGCUCUGUACUUUCUUCCUGCUGUCCAGCGAUGUUGACAUGUUGAGGGGAAUUUUAGUUGAGCCCUGUUCUCACUGGUGCCAAUGUUGCACUGAUGCCUCUCUCUAUGAUGAGGGCAAUGUUGCUUUGAAAGUCUCCUUUUAUUUCCUCUCUUUCUCUUAGUGCUUUCUUCUUUUCUGAGAUGCUUCUGAGGGGUGCUGACCUCCCCCUGUGGAGAGGGCAGUUUCUGGGGGGACCUCAGUGAUGGCCACCCAGUCAGAAGCAGCCUGUUUAACUGAGAAUGAUCUGAGUGGCACAGUGAGUGCUGAGUGUGAAUUGUUGAGGGAGGCUGUUGGGUUCUGCUGUCUCUUUCUGGCUGUCUUUUCUGCACCCUUCCUUUCAGAGGUCUCCCCCCUUCGCAUUCUUUAGAAGUUUUUCUGAUGACUGUGUGGGAGUUAAUCACUUCGACAGCACUUGGUAAAUCUUAACAAUGAAGUACUGAGAAGGUUAUGGUUACUAGUAAGAAACCAGUAGAUUAGGAUGAAGCAUGAAUACCAAAGACAAUUUAACUCUGCCAUUUUUGAGGGGGGACCAAAAUCCUAAGUAAUUCCACAUGCCUUAGAUAUCAAUGGAAGUUAUACUUAGAUGGGCAAAGCUCUUUCUCCACCGAGAGAUGAAUCAAGUACAUGCCUGUUCUCGUUCAAUAAGCCAGUACAUCUUGCGCAUUGUGGAUGCCGUAUUUUCAGGUUUUUCAUCAAGCCAUGACCCUACCUAUUUGGCUGCACAGGUGAAUUGGGUGGAAAGGCUUUGGCCUUCCUGGUUGAUCGGCAUGUAAUCCACAGUGUCCUGAUGUUGAGGACUGGAGAAACAGCCUAGCAGCAGAAAGGGAGUGUGGGUGAAUCAUUGGCUGCCUUUCACCUGGACCAGGGAUGGGGAAUGGAUAACAUCUCUGCCUGUGUCUGUCAAGAUGGCCUUGAGAGUGAGUGGCACUCCUUUACCUCUGCCAGAAAUUGCUCCCAGAAUCUGUGUCAUGAAUCCUUCCAGGCCCUCCAGUCCAUCAGAGUGAGGUGAGGUCUAUUUCUCAUCCCUGCCUUAGAGGAGUGAAUGAAUUAGGUGAGUAGACACUGCCCGGAAUGGCUUUGAAAAGCAGGGAGUGGAUUCAUUUCAGUUCCCUGGUUCCCAAAAAUUGAAUGUCUGUCGUGUGCAAGAAAGUGUCAAGAGGUGGGGAUAUGAGAGUUCCCAUUGUGGCGCAGUGGAAAUGAAUCUGACUAGGAACCAUGAGGUUGCGGGUUUGAUCCCUGGCCUUACUCAGUGGGUUAAAGACCUGGUGUUGCUGUGAGCUGUGGUGUAGUUUGCAGACGCGGCUCGGAUCUGGCGUUGCUGUGGGCUCUGGCGUAGGCCUAUGGCAACAGCUCCGUUUCGACCUCUAGCCUGGGAAUCUCCAUAUGCCAUGGGUGUGGCCCUCAAAAGACAAAAGACAAAAAAUAAAAUAAAAUAAAGAAGUGGGGAUAUGGAAAUAAGCCACCAUGCCUCGCCUUGAGUUUAUAGCCCACAAAGUGUUACUAUCGUGACGAUGGAAACUAGACUGGCCAUCUUGAAGAUGCCCACUUUUGUCAAGGUGCACUGGGCUCCCAAGCCUUCCUGCCUCUUCAGUCCUGGCCCCAUCUGUCACCUACUUGAUGAUUUACUAACAAUCCUGAACCAGCUUUUCUCUAAAUUUGAACAGCACAUCCUGCGGUCUUUGUUUUUGUCUUUCACAGGAUGCUUUUUUCUCACUACUUUCCAUUGUCUUCUCUGUACUUCAUUUUCUGGAAAAAGAUAUGAGAUCCGCUUUAUUUAAAAAUACUGACAAAACACCACAGCUUGGGUAGCUAAGGGCUCAGCAGGCUGAUCCCAGGAAAAGGAGGAGCAAAGCCAGGGAAGUAGGUGUUAGGAGAGAAGCAAGCCGUCCACCUGUGCAUUUAUACCUAUGCCUUUAAAACACUUCCAUCAAAAGGAGAAAUGAACAUCGAGACACUAGUCCUGAGUGAAAGUCAGUUGAUUUUGCCUCUGUGAUAACUAUCAAAGGGUAUGUUUCAUUCACAUUAGAGUAUUUUUCAUUUCAUGGUGUUAACUUCGGAACACGAUAUAAAGCACACACCAAUUGACACAGCCUGAUUUCUGCACUUGAUAUAACCACGUUUAUUCAUUCCCAUAGGAGGGAGAUUAAAUGUAAAAGAGGGUCGAUUUUGAGUUACAAAGGGUGACUUUGGAAGGGUUGGCUGGUGCUUUGUCAAAUGGAUGUCAUAGUUGGUUGCUAGUAAAGAAAAGGGAAAUGUAGUUUGCAUUAUUGUGUCAUUUUUCUGAAAAAAACUUAAUAGGGGCUCUUGAAGUGUCUCUACAGUGUUUUCCUAUCUUGUGGUCACUUUAAGAAAAAUGAGAAUCUGUAGAAUGAAUAGUUAUGUUUUGUUAUGACUGAACUUUGUUAAAAAGGUUGUAUUGAGCCUUCAAUUUCAAGUGUGGCUUAAAAUGUAAACAUAUCACAUGAUUCAUUUAAAUACAACGAUGCCUAUGAAGCACUCACUCAAACAGCAUACGUUUUGUGUUUAUAAUUAGAACUACAGAAGAAAAUCUCUUCAAAUAAAAUAGUUUU